rnacentral:rRNA from 1 species
ACGCUGGCGGCACGCCUAACACAUGCAAGUCGAACGAAGUAGCAAUACUUAGUGGCAGACGGGUGAGUAACAUGUAGGUAUCUGCCCUUUGGCCUGGAAUAACACGAGGAAACUUGUGCUAAUACCGGAUAAGUCUUUACGGAGAAAGCUUUAUGCACCAUUGGAUGAGCCUGCACUUGAUUAGUUUGUUGGUGGGGUAAUGGCCUACCAAGACUGUGAUCAAUAGCUGAUUUGAGAGGAUGAUCAGCCACAUUGGGACUGAGACACGGCCCAAACUCCUACGGGAGGCAGCAGUGGGGAAUCUUGCACAAUGGAGGAAACUCUGAUGCAGCGAUGCCGCGUGAGUGAAGAAGGCCUUUGGGUUGUAAAGCUCUUUCGUCGGGGAAGGAAAUGACUGUACCCGAAUAAGAAGGUCCGGCUAACUUCGUGCCAGCAGCCGCGGUAAUACGAAGGGACCUAGCGUAGUUCGGAAUUACUGGGCUUAAAGAGUUCGUAGGUGGUUGAAAAAGUUGGUGGUGAAAUCCCAGAGCUUAACUCUGGAACUGCCAUCAAAACUCUUCAGCUAGAGUAUGAUAGAGGAAAGCAGAAUUUCUAGUGUAGAGGUGAAAUUCGUAGAUAUUAGAAAGAAUACCAAUUGCGAAGGCAGCUUUCUGGAUCAUUACUGACACUGAGGAACGAAAGCAUGGGUAGCGAAGAGGAUUAGAUACCCUCGUAGUCCAUGCCGUAAACGAUGUGUGUUAGACGUUGGAAAUUUAUUUUCAGUGUCGCAGCGAAAGCGAUAAACACACCGCCUGGGGAGUACGACCGCAAGGUUAAAACUCAAAUGAAUUGACGGGGACCCGCACAAGUAGUGGAGCAUGUGGUUUAAUUCGAAGAUACGCGCAGAACCUUACCAACACUUGACAUGUUCGUCGCGACUUUGAGAGAUCAAAGUUUUCGGUUCGGCCGGACGAAACACAGGUGCUGCAUGGCUGUCGUCAGCUCGUGUCGUGAGAUGUUGGGUUAAGUCCCGCAACGAGCGCAACCCUCACUUUUAGUUGCCAUCAUUAAGUUGGGCACUCUGAAAGAACUGCCAGUGAUAAGCUGGAGGAAGGUGGGGAUGACGUCAAGUCCUCAUGGCCCUUACGUGUUGGGCUACACACGUGCUACAAUGGUAUCUACAACAGGAAGCAAAACCGCGAGGUUAAGCAAAUCCUUAAAAGAUACCUCAGUUCGGAUUGCACUCUGCAACUCGAGUGCAUGAAGCUGGAAUUACUAGUAAUCGUGGAUCAGCGUGCCACGGUGAAUGCGUUCCCGGGUCUUGUACACACCGCCCGUCACACCAUGGGAGUUGGUUCUACCUUAAGGCAAGGUUUAAAACCCUUGACCACGGUAUAGUCAGCGACUGGGGUG